rnacentral:pre_miRNA from 1 species
CAUGAUGCAAGGUGUUAUGGGUCCUGGAACUGGUGGAGGUGGUAGUUGCGCUAGUUCAGGAGGAGCGUAUAAUGCUCGGUAUCAUUUC